rnacentral:rRNA from 1 species
UACGUAGGGGGCUAGCGUUGUUCGGAAUUACUGGGCGUAAAGCGCGCGCAGGCGGUCUUCCAAGUCAGUGGUGAAAGCCCGGAGCUCAACUCCGGAACUGCCAUUGAAACUGUUAGACUUGAGGAUGAGAGAGGUGAGUGGAAUUCCCAGUGUAGAGGUGAAAUUCGUAGAUAUUGGGAAGAACACCGGUGGCGAAGGCGGCUCACUGGCUCAUUACUGACGCUCAGGCGCGAUAGCGUGGGGAUCAAACAGG